GACGAACGCUGGCGGCGUGCUUAACACAUGCAAGUCGAACGGAAAGGCCCUGCUUUUGUGUGGUGCUCGAGUGGCGAACGGGUGUGUAACACGUGAGUAACCUGCCCUUGACUUUGGGAUAACUUCAGGAAACUGGGGCUAAUACCGGAUAUGAGCUCCUGCUGCAUGGUGGGGGUUGGAAAGUUUCGGCGGUUGGGGAUGGACUCGCGGCUUAUCAGCUUGUUGGUGGAGUAGUGGCUUACCAAGGCUUUGACGGGUAGCCGGCCUGAGAGGGUGACCGGCCACAUUGGGACUGAGAUACGGACCAGAAUCCUACGGGAGGCAGCAGUAGGGAAUAUUGCACAAUAGGCGGAAGCGUGAUGCAGCAACGCCGCGUGCGGGAUGACGGCCUUCGGGUUGUAAACCGCUUUCGCCUGUGACGAAGCGUGAGUGACGGUAAUGGGUAAAGAAGCACCGGCUAACUACGUG
rnacentral:rRNA from 1 species